AUUGAACGCUAGCGGGAUGCUUUACACAUACAAGUCGAACGGCAGCGCGGACUUCGGUCUGGCGGCGAGUGGCGAACGGGUGAGUAAUGUAUCGGAACGUGCCCAGUAGCGGGGGAUAACUACGCGAAAGCGUAGCUAAUACCGCAUACGCCCUACGGGGGAAAGCAGGGGAUCGUAAGACCUUGCACUAUUGGAGCGGCCGAUAUCGGAUUAGCUAGUUGGUGAGGUAACGGCUCACCAAGGCGACGAUCCGUAGCUGGUUUGAGAGGACGACCAGCCACACUGGGACUGAGACACGGCCCAGACUCCUACGGGAGGCAGCAGUGGGGAAUUUUGGACAAUGGGGGCAACCCUGAUCCAGCCAUCCCGCGUGUGCGAUGAAGGCCUUCGGGUUGUAAAGCACUUUUGGCAGGAAAGAAACGUCGCGGGCUAAUACCCCGUGGAACUGACGGUACCUGCAGAAUAAGCACCGGCUAACUACGUG
rnacentral:rRNA from 1 species